rnacentral:rRNA from 1 species
UACGUAGGGACCAAGCGUUGUUCGGAUUUACUGGGCGUAAAGGGCGCGUAGGCGGCGUGGUAAGUCACUUGUGAAAUCCCUGGGCUCAACCCAGGAACUGCGUCCGAUACUGAAAGGCUUGAAUCCGGGAGAGGGAUGCGGAAUUCCAGGUGUAGCGGUGAAAUGCGUAGAUAUCUGGAGGAACACCGGUGGCGAAGGCGGCAUCCUGGACCGGUAUUGACGCUGAGGCGCGAAAGCCAGGGGAGCAAACGGG